ACGGAGGAUCCAAGCGUUAUCCGGAUUUAUUGGGUUUAAAGGGUGCGUAGGCGGAACGAUAAGUCAGAGGUGAAAGCCCGCAGCUUAACUGCGGAACUGCCUUUGAUACUGUCGAUCUUGAGUACAUUUGAUGUGGGCGGAAUGUGUCAUGUAGCGGUGAAAUGCUUAGAUAUGACACAGAACACCGAUUGCGAAGGCAGCUCACAAAACUGUUACUGACGCUGAGGCACGAAAGCGUGGGGAGCGAACAGG
rnacentral:rRNA from 1 species